CUACUUUGCUGACGAGCGGCGGACGGGUGAGUAAUGCUUGGGAACAUGCCUUGAGGUGGGGGACAACAGUUGGAAACGACUGCUAAUACCGCAUAAUGUCUACGGACCAAAGGGGGCUUCGGCUCUCGCCUUUAGAUUGGCCCAAGUGGGAUUAGCUAGUUGGUGAGGUAAUGGCUCACCAAGGCGACGAUCCCUAGCUGGUUUGAGAGGAUGAUCAGCCACACUGGGACUGAGACACGGCCCAGACUCCUACGGGAGGCAGCAGUGGGGAAUAUUGCACAAUGGGCGCAAGCCUGAUGCAGCCAUGCCGCGUGUGUGAAGAAGGCCUUCGGGUUGUAAAGCACUUUCAGUCAGGAGGAAAGGUUAGUAGUUAAUACCUGCUAGCUGCGACGUUACUGACAGAAGAAGCACCGGCUAACUCCGUGCCAGCAGCCGCGGUAAUACGGAGGGUGCGAGCGUUAAUCGGAAUUACUGGGCGUAAAGCGUACGCAGGCGGUUUGUUAAGCGAGAUGUGAAAGCCCCGGGCUCAACCUGGGAACUGCAUUUCGAACUGGCAAACUAGAGUGUGAUAGAGGGUGGUAGAAUUUCAGGUGUAGCGGUGAAAUGCGUAGAGAUCUGAAGGAAUACCGAUGGCGAAGGCAGCCACCUGG
rnacentral:rRNA from 1 species